rnacentral:rRNA from 1 species
GAUGAACGCUGGCGGCGUGCCUAAUACAUGCAAGUCGAGCGAACGGACGAGAAGCUUGCUUCUCUGAUGUUAGCGGCGGACGGGUGAGUAACACGUGGAUAACCUACCUAUAAGACUGGGAUAACUUCGGGAAACCGGAGCUAAUACCGGAUAAUAUUUUGAACCGCAUGGUUCAAAAGUGAAAGACGGUCUUGCUGUCACUUAUAGAUGGAUCCGCGCUGCAUUAGCUAGUUGGUAAGGUAACGGCUUACCAAGGCAACGAUGCAUAGCCGACCUGAGAGGGUGAUCGGCCACACUGGAACCGAGACACGGUCCAGACUCCUUCGGGAGGCAGCAGUAGGGAAUCUUCCGCAAUGGGCGAAAGCCUGACGGAGCAACGCCGCGUGAGUGAUGAAGGUCUUCGGAUCGUAAAACUCUGUUAUUAGGGAAGAACAUAUGUGUAAGUAACUGUGCACAUCUUGACGGUACCUAAUCAGAAAGCCACGGCUAACUACGUG